CUGAGAAACGGCUACCACAUCUAAGGAAGGCAGCAGGCGCGCAAAUUACCCAAUCCUGACUCAGGGAGGUAGUGACAAGAAAUAACAACACUGGAAAUUCAAUUUCUAGUGAUUGGAAUGAUGGGAAUCCAAACCCCUUUCAGAGUAACAAUUGGAGGGCAAGUCUGGUGCCAGCAGCCGCGGUAAUUCCAGCUCCAAUAGCGUAUAUUAAAGUUGUUGCAGUUAAA
rnacentral:rRNA from 1 species